rnacentral:rRNA from 1 species
GCAAGGGUGCAUGGCAGACGGGUGAGUAACGCGUGGAGAACCUACCUCUUUGUGGGGAAUAACGCUCCGAAAGGAGUGGUAAUACCGCAUGAGACCCAAGGCUGGGAUGCCUUGGGUGAAACCUGGGGACCGCAAGGCCUGGGGCAAGGAGAGGGUUCCGCGUCUGAUUAGCUAGUUGGUGGGGUAAUGGCCUACCAAGGCGACGAUCAGUAGCCGGCCUGAGAGGGUGAUCGGCCACACUGGAACUGAGACACGGUCCAGACUCCUACGGGAGGCAGCAGUGGGGAAUUUUGCGCAAUGGGCGAAAGCCUGACGCAGCAACGCCGCGUGGGUGAUGAAGGUCUUCGGAUCGUAAAACCCUGUCGUCAGGGACGAAGGUUAUCGGUUGAACAGACCGGUGACUUGACGGUACCUGGAGAGGAAGCCCCGGCUAACUCUGUGCCAGCAGCCGCGGUAAUACAGAGGGGGCAAGCGUUAUUCGGAAUUAUUGGGCGUAAAGGGCGCGUAGGCGGUUUUUUAAGUGAGAUGUGCAAUCCCCGAGCUUAACUUGGGAACUGCAUCUCAGACUGGAAGGCUGGAGUACUGGAGAGGGUGGUAGAAUUCCACGUGUAGCGGUGAAAUGCGUAGAGAUGUGGAGGAAUACCAGUGGC